rnacentral:tRNA from 1 species
GCCUCUGUAGCUUAAUGGAUAGAGCAAGCCCGUCCUAAGGGCGAGAUGUAGGUUCGAUUCCUAUCAGGGGUACAA